AUUGAACGCUGGCGGCAGGCCUAACACAUGCAAGUCGAACGAGUGGCGGACGGGUGAGUAAUGUCUGGGAAACUGCCUGAUGGAGGGGGCUAACUACUGGAAACGGUAGCUAAUACCGCAUACCAUCAGAUGUGCCCAGAUGGGAUUAGAGAGGUGGUGGGGGAACGGCUCACCAAGGCGACGAUCCCUAGCUGGUCUGAGAGGAUGACAAGCCACAAUGGAACUGGAAAACGGUCCAGACUCCUACGGGAGGGAGCAGUGGGGAAUAGUGCACAAUGGGCGCAAGCCUGAUGCAGCCAUGCCGGGUGUAUGAAGAAGGCCUUCGGGUUGUAAAGUACUUUCAGCGGGGAGGCGUUACCCGCCGAAGAAGCACCGGCUAACACCGUGCCAGCAGCCGCGGUAAUUC
rnacentral:rRNA from 1 species